rnacentral:misc_RNA from 1 species
CCAAUUAUACUAAAAACAGGGGCGAACCCAACACACAAUCUAAUUUUGUCUAAAAUAGAAGGUCUCUCAACAUAAAUCCAAACAAGGUAAUCAAGGUGUAGAUAUACAAAAAAGAGCCCUAAUAGACUGCCCAAGCCUAAAACAACCCAAACCACCACCAAAGGAAACCAAAUCCUAAUUCUGACUCAACAUGAAAGCAACCAUCGCUCUCACAUCCAAAACGAAGCUGAGUCGUCCUUGAGUAGGCAAAAGGCAAUCAAAUGAAGCGCAAAUGAAACACGCAAGCUAAGAGCAAUGAUUUCAUCCACAAAUCACCUCUAGAAGACAAGCAACCCAGAGGACCCUCAAGUAUCAAAGACACGUACCCAAAACCAUGGUGAAGAGUGGAUUCGAAGCCAAUGGGAGCAAAUGGGUGCGAGGAACGGCUCUUUGGCAUAUCCGAUUGUUGAGAUAUUGAAUAGUUAAGAGAGAUGUGGCUUCAGGAGGUAUCUCACAGACUAAACGGAGGACUCAUUGAUCCUAAUAGAACUUAAUGAUAAAUUGGGACCCAUCCCUACCACCAACAAAUACGCAUACACAACAAGAGGGCCCUACCGCCACUACUCUCGAAACAAAAUUUAUUGCAGAUUUCUUUGUAGGUUUUAGAUAGCCUUCACAAAUGAGCCAUAGUCUUGCCUGCAAUAAAACACAAGCUCCGUCCAGAAGGAUGAGGAUAGACCCACGCCGAGGUGGAGAAGGAGAGCCAUUCCCAUACCCGAUACCAAAAGAACAUUCUAUGCUAAAAAGGGAAAAA